CAGCUGAGAAUAAAAACUUUGAAACUGGAAUGUUAUUAAACUUCCAAUAAGAAUUUCAUAAAACAGCAGAAAUAAUAAUCAUAGAUAAGAAAGAAAACAAGACAAUUAUUUUUUCAUAUAAAAUUGCAAAAAAUCAAAUUAAAAUUGUACGUGUUGUUUGAAACAAGUUGACAGGCACAACCCAACCAACGGCAGUCAGAUAAGUUUAUCAAAAGCUAGACACGUAAUAGUUUUACUCCAAGCGUAACCCUCUAA